rnacentral:rRNA from 1 species
GGUUAAGUGAAUAAGGGCGCACGGUGGAUGCCUUGGCACUAGGAGCCGAUGAAGGACGGGACUAACACCGAUAUGCUUUGGGGAGCUGUACGUAAGCUAUGAUCCAGAGAUUUCCGAAUGGGGGAACCCAACAUCUUUAAUAGGAUGUUACGAUUGUGUGAAUACAUAGCACAUUCGAGGUAGACGCAGAGAACUGAAACAUCUAAGUACCUGCAGGAAGAGAAAGAAAAUUCGAUUCCCUGAGUAGCGGCGAGCGAAACGGGAAAAGCCCAAACCAGCAAGCUUGCUUGUUGGGGUUGUAGGACUCCAAUAUGGUAGUUCUUUCAGAUAGUCGAAUGACUUGGAAAAGUCAGUCAAAGAGGGUAAAAACCCCGUAGACGAAAUGUGGAAGACACCUAGGAGGAUCCUGAGUACGGCGGAACACGAGAAAUUCCGUCGGAAUCCGGGAGGACCAUCUCCCAAGGCUAAAUACUCCCUAGUGACCGAUAGUGAACCAGUACCGUGAGGGAAAGGUGAAAAGCACCCCGGAAGGGGAGUGAAAUAGAACCUGAAACCGUGUGCCUACAACAAGUCAAAGCCCGUUAAUGGGUGAUGGCGUGCCUUUUGUAGAAUGAACCGGCGAGUUACGAUUGCAUGCGAGGUUAAGUUGAAGAGACGGAGCCGCAGCGAAAGCGAGUCUGAAUAGGGCGUUUGAGUAUGUAGUCGUAGACCCGAAACCAUGUGAUCUACCCAUGUCCAGGUUGAAGGUGCGGUAAAACGCACUGGAGGACCGAACCCACGUACGUUGAAAAGUGCGGGGAUGAGGUGUGGGUAGCGGAGAAAUUCCAAACGAACUUGGAGAUAGCUGGUUCUCUCCGAAAUAGCUUUAGGGCUAGCCUCGGAAUUGAGAAUGAUGGAGGUAGAGCACUGUUUGGACUAGGGGCCCAUCUCGGGUUACCGAAUUCAGAUAAACUCCGAAUGCCAUUCAUUCAUAUCCGGGAGUCAGACUGUGAGUGAUAAGAUCCAUAGUCGAAAGGGAAACAGCCCAGACCACCAGCUAAGGUCCCAAAAUAUAUGUUAAGUGGAAAAGGAUGUGGGGUUGCACAGACAACUAGGAUGUUGGCUUAGAAGCAGCCACCAUUUAAAGAGUGCGUAAUAGCUCACUAGUCGAGUGACCCUGCGCCGAAAAUGUACCGGGGCUAAACAUAUUACCGAAGCUGUGGAGUACACCUUUAGGUGUAUUGGUAGGAGAGCGUUCUAAGGGC